UGGGGAAUCUUGGACAAUGGGCGCAAGCCUGAUCCAGCCAUGCCGCGUGAGUGACGAAGGCCUUAGGGUUGUAAAGCUCUUUUGCCGGGGACGAUAAUGACGGUACCCGGAGAAUAAGUCCCGGCUAACUUCGUGCCAGCAGCCGCGGUAAUACGAAGGGGACUAGCGUUGUUCGGAAUUACUGGGCGUAAAGCGCACGUAGGCGGAUUUGUCAGUCAGGGGUGAAAUCCCGGGGCUCAACCUCGGAACUGCCUUUGAUACAGCAAGUCUUGAGUCCGAUAGAGGUGGGUGGAAUUCCUAGUGUAGAGGUGAAAUUCGUAGAUAUUAGGAAGAACACCAGUGGCGAAGGCGGCCAACUGGCUCGAUACUGACGCUGAGGUGCGAAAGCAUGGGGAGCAAACAGGAUUAGAUACCCCAGUAGUCCCUGAGCGGGCUGGCAAGGCGCAU
rnacentral:rRNA from 1 species